GGGGGGGGGCUCGAUACCAGGGACUGUGUUCUCCUUAGGGUGCACGUGUGUGUUCAUUGGGCGUGUGUGUGUGCGUGUGUGUGUGCGUGCGUGCGAGCGGUCUGUGAUCUCCUGGCCUUUGUGAUGGAGAUGGGACCGGCCGGCCUGACCCGAUAAUGACGCGAUGCUCUAAUAGCAUUCAUCCUUUCUGCUGCAAAACUACUCAAGCGGAAAAGAGCGAGAGGAGAGGGGGAGGAGGAGGAGGGGGAGGAGGAGGGGGAGGAGAAGAAAAGUGGGGGCCGGUUAGGGAAGCUAUGUUUAAAAUACGACGCAAAUCAUUUGUAAUCUCAGAAUCAGGGUUCAAAGAGGGACGGGUGGGGGCACCUUAGAUCAGUGUGAAGCUCUCUGUGUGUGUGUGUGUGUGUGUGUGUGUGUGUGUGUGUGUGUGUGUGUGUGUGUGUGUGUGUGUGUGAGACAUUUAGCAGUAAAUACGCUGUGACUGUGUCUCCUCGCUCUCUUUAUCGGUUCAUAUUUGCUGCGGGCGACGGAGCGUGGAGGCUUUCAGGACGCCGGCCCAAAGGGGACGGGACCCUGUGUCCCGCACACACGCAGACGCUUGCUUAUCACGAAGGGUCAUUACAGGCCUCUAACUACAGCCUCCGCAAUCAGCGCGUUACAUCGGCAGACCUGCGCAGCGCGUACCAGUAAAGACCAUGGGAAUGAGAGCAGGGGGACACAAAUAGACGACCAAGGCGGGAACUCCCACCAGCCUGCGGCACGACCAGGCGGGGGGGACGCGGCCGGCCUACUGCUACAACUGCUCCAUGAGGGGACACUUUGGACACGCGUGUGGAAGCCAGAAGAUGUACAACUGGACGUAUCACUGCAGCACUUUCAUCAACUACUACGACACGAAGAGAGACAUCAAACGCAGAGAGCAGUCGGUGUCGGCGAAGGCCAAAGAACUGAAGAAAAACGGCUUUUUCACAAACAGUGUUCAGACCCACCUCGCUGCGGGACCGCCCAUUAAGAAACGCAAAUUUGACCAUUACAACCACCACCCCCACCCGCUGGCCCGCCCGCCCCACCAGACCCCCAGCGGCCACAAACCCAACCACAUCUUCUUCAAGGGGGGCGACGUCUUCACGCCGCCCAAAACCAAGAAGAACCAUAAGAACCGGGAGAGCAACGCGAAACCGUGGAAACCCAAGAGGCCGGUUCCCGCCGCCAAAGCCCCCGUCGCCACGGCCAAAGUCAUCGUGGAUGAAGCGAAGGACUUUCCUCGAGGUGGAGGCAAGGGAGGAGAUGUGAAGGCGAAGAAGAAGAAGAAGAUGAUGGGGAGGAGCAAGCAGCAAGCCCACAUCGAGGGUGACCCGGACCGCCUCGGUUGGACCGUCGCGGGGGAGAUGCAGGGGGCGGGGUCCAAGCCGCAGAAGAAGAAGAAGAAGAAGAACCAAAAGCAGAAGAAGACACCCAGAAAGGCGGCCGCGGAGGAGAUGUACCCGACGGAUGAGAACCUGUUCCUCAUCAAGCAGAGGAAGCGCAGAAAAUAGAGGCCAGGACGCACGCCGGUUCACGGCGGCUUUGGGCUCAUCUCAGACUCUCAGUUGGGGAGUUGGAGUGCUGCGUGGAAGAGUUCAUCUGACCUUUUUUUCUUUCUUUUUCUUAGCUGAAGACGCUUUGACGCAGUAGGAAAAGCACAGAUGUAAAUAAUAAGAGUGAUGAAGGCUGAAUGUUUCAGGGUGCGGUUGGGGGUCCUACUGGGACGCCUGAGGUCACAAGUCUACAAGUCUGGUUUAAAGUAACAGCUGGGAGUCCGUGAACGUUACACUCGGUGUCAAUGCAGUUUGGGAAACAGUCAUGAAAAACAUCUAUUGGUUUUCUGCACAGGAACUUAUUUAUUUUUGUCGCUCAGAACUUUCUUUUUUUUUAAGUUUCAAAGUGAAGUGUUAAACACAGAAGUUUAGUUUAGGCAACAAAAAAAUGUAGUGACCAGGAAUAAGGCUCCUGGUUGACUUUCCUCUGCCAGUAAUUUAUUCCAACUAAGACAAAAACAACAAAAAAGUUGUGUCCUUGUACACAAAGCCACAAAUUGGAUUUCAGGACUAUUUCUCAAACUGCCACGAUUACCGAGCUGGAACAUUGAGGUCAUUCCUCCUGUCCAUACUGGUCCCAUAUGAAGACCCCCCCUCAGGCGCCCGGUGAGGGACGGCUGACACAAUUCACUGCUACAAAAUGUAUUUCAACGGGGAAUCUAUCCAAAACUACAGUGAGAGUUAGACAAAUCGUGUCGAUUCCUUUCUAAAGUCCACCAGGGGAACACUGCCCAGGGCAGCAGAAAGGACAGAUGUUGGUACUAAAACAUACGUCACUUUGUGGCUGUCCUCUAGAUUUGUCGAACUCAGGCCGCUGAUAAACGUUUGAAUACAUUUUUGCUCUUAGGACCUACUCUGGAAGCCCUUUAAAAAGAUGUUCACUGUGACUGGCAGGGGUUACAGAACCUUUGUGAAGAUUUCCUUUCAAUUUUAUUAUUUCCACUUGUGAUUUUACUGCUAUGAGGAGUCUUUCUGCUGAGAAAAUAAGGCUGUUUUUAUUCAGUCCAGUAGUUAUUUAAGUCACUUCCUGUGUUAAUGGACAGCGAUUAGUUACUGUUGCCUAAUAACUUUUCAGUUAUUAGUAGAUGGUGUAAUAAGAAAUCGUUCAGAUGAUCGAUUGAUGUCCUUAUUAUAUUCUCCAGUAUAGUUGCUAACAUAAUUCUCUGUUUGAAGUAUAAUCAGAUCAUUUCCUAGCACCUCUGCAUCCCCAAAGAAUGGGAAUUUUUUUGUUCCAAUACUACCCAAAAUGGUCCGUUUCACAUUUAGAACAGAAGAAUUUCCAUUUUUUUCACACUUCAUCUGUAAAUGUUUUAAAUAUGAGCAUAACUGUAAAUACCUCUAUUACACAUGGACCGUUUUAACCCCUUCAACCAUCCUCUACAUCGAGUCUGUUAACAUGAUGACAACAUGAAAAGAGGUUGAGACCGUUGCUUGAUAACAUAAAUACUGGCUGCCUGAAGUCUCCAGCUUGAAUACAACUUGAGUCUGCUUCGUCGUGCUUUUAUUUCCUUCAUUCAGGAACAUAAAUCAUUUUGUGUGAUCAUUAUACCUGUUGACACUGGUCUAUUCAUAAACGGUCCCAUAAUGAUUUGCAUUGCAUUGCAUUGUGAUGCAAUUCAUAUAGAUGAUGCUUUAGUAUCAUUUUAAAGUUGAUAUAAUUAUGUGAACUAAAAUAAACUAUACCAUCAAGAUCACAUUGGGAAGUUAUGGACAAUGGACAAUGCCACCAGUAAUGGUCCAAAAGAAUGAAGACUGGCAUUUCAAGAUUUCAUCUGUCCCACGUUUGUAAACCAAAUAAAACUAAAUGAAUAAAAACAAUAUUUCCUAACGAAUUGUUGCGGAGUGGAAUGUGUAGAAUAUGAAGUCCUUUUACUGCGCGUGGCACGCUAGAGCUUUUCAGCUGUGUAAGGUGACCAUGUCAAGUCUGAGGGGAACUUUACGAUUUCUGUCAAAAUUUGCUCCCCUG
ensembl:lncRNA